GUAGGUGGCAAGCGUUGUCCGGAUUUAUUGGGUUUAAAGGGUGCGUAGGCGGUCUAAUAAGUCAGUGGUGAAAUCCGGCAGCUCAACUGUCGAUGUGCCAUUGAUACUGUUGGACUUGAGUACAGACGAGGUAGGCGGAAUUGACGGUGUAGCGGUGAAAUGCUUAGAUAUCGUCAAGAACACCGAUAGCGAAGGCAGCUUACUAGACUGUAACUGACGCUGAUGCACGAAAGUGUGGGGAUCAAACAGGAUUAGAUACCCUGGUAGUCCACACUGUAAACGAUGAUUACUCGAUGUUAGCGAUACACAGUUAGCGUCUUAGCGAAAGCGAUAAGUAAUCCACCUGGGGAGUACGCCGGCAACGGUG
rnacentral:rRNA from 1 species